GACGAACGCUGGCGGCGUGCUUAACACAUGCAAGUCGAACGGAAAGGCCCUGCUUUUGUGGGGUGCUCGAGUGGCGAACGGGUGAGUAACACGUGAGUAACCUGCCCUUGACUUUGGGAUAACUUCAGGAAACUGGGGCUAAUACCGGAUAGGAGCUCCUGCUGCAUGUGGGGGUUGGAAAGUUUCGGCGGUUGGGGAUGGACUCGCGGCUUAUCAGCUUGUUGGUGGGGUAGUGGCUUACCAAGGCUUUGACGGGUAGCCGGCCUGAGAGGGUGGCCGGCCACAUUGGGACUGAGAUACGGCCCAGACUCCUACGGGAGGCAGCAGUGGGGAAUAUUGCACAAUGGGCGGAAGCCUGAUGCAGCAACGCCGCGUGCGGGAUGACGGCCUUCGGGUUGUAAACCGCUUUCGCCUGUGACGAAGCGUGAGUGACGGUAAUGGGUAAAGAAGCACCGGCUAACUACGUG
rnacentral:rRNA from 1 species